rnacentral:tRNA from 1 species
GCCUGAGUGGCUCAGUGGGUUAAGCCUCUGCCUUCAGCUCAGGUCAUGAUCCCAGGGUCGUGGGAUCGAGCCCCGUCUCGGGCU